rnacentral:rRNA from 1 species
GAUGAACGCUAGCUACAGGCUUAACACAUGCAAGUCGAGGGGAAACGGCAUUAAGUGCUUGCACUUUUUGGACGUCGACCGGCGCACGGGUGAGUAACGCGUAUCCAACCUUCCCAUGACUAAGGGAUAACCUGCCGAAAGGCAGACUAAUACCUUAUGUUCUUCACUGACGGCAUCAGAUGUGAAGUAAAGAUUUAUCGGUUAUGGAUGGGGAUGCGUCUGAUUAGCUUGUUGGCGGGGUAACGGCCCACCAAGGCAACGAUCAGUAGGGGUUCUGAGAGGAAGCUCCCCCACAUUGGAACUGGGACACGGUCCAAACUCCUACGGGAGGCAGCAGAGAGGAAGACUGGGCAAGGGGCGAGAGCCUGAACCAGCCAAGUAGGGUGCAGGAGGACGGCGCUAUGGGUUGUAAACUGCUUUUGUAUGGGGAUAAAGUCAAUAACGUGUGAUUGUUUGCAGGUACCAUACGAAUAAGGACCGGCUAAUUCCGUG